GGAUUGGUCGAUAUGUUACAAGAUCAUAGGAAUAGCACACGGAAUGAUUUUGCCUUCAGACUCUCGUCUAUGAAUUAUACAUCAUGAUCUCAAAGUUAGCAAUAUAUUAUUAAGUGGAGAUAUGAACCCAAAAAUAUCAGAUUUUGGCAUGGCGAAAGUUUUUGGUGUUGACUAUCUCAAUGAAAUACAAAGAAGAUUGUCGAGACAUAGUACGUUCUACUUCCUAUUUGUAGUGUACAUCUUCAUUCAUCUUGACUUGUAUAUGAUGUGGAAUGGGAUUGAUUGUAGCGGUUACAUGGCUCUAGAGUACGCAAUGCGUGGCCGCUUCCCAAUAAAAUCUGAUGUUUUUGGUUUUUGCGUCAUGGUUUUGGAAAUCAUAACAUAACCGGCAAGAAUAAUAACAACUUCUACAAAUCAGAUGGUACAAGCUCGAGCCUGAUAUGCUAUGUGAGUGCAAAGUUCUAAUUCUACCUGUAAAUUUAGGAUACUCAAACGAGCAUAUUAUAAAAUAUUACUGGUAACAAAUAAAAUAAUUAAAGUUAUUUAUAAAAAAUGAACUUCAUCUUAACCUACUUUUGCCUGAACAGGCUUGGAGACUUUGAAGAAAUAGUACACCUUGGAAUUAAUGGAUCCAACUUUGCAAGAGUCUUGUGCGUUGGAUGAAUCCAAUUGGCUUAUUGUGUGUUCAAAAAAGUGUUGAUGAUAGACCAAGAAUUACUUAAAAAGUUCAAUAAUGGCAGAAAUCAUCUAUAU
rnacentral:lncRNA from 1 species